rnacentral:rRNA from 1 species
GACGAACGCUGGCGGCGUGCUUAACACAUGCAAGUCGAACGAUGAAGCCGGAGCUUGCUCUGGUGAAUUAGUGGCGAAGGGGUGAGUAACACGUGAGUAACCUGCCCUUGACUCCGGGAUCACUGAUAGAAAUGGUAGCUAAUACCGGAUACGACCCUCGGAGGCAUCUCCAGGGGGUGGAAAGAAUUUCGGUCAAGGAUGGACUCGCGGCCUAUCAGCGAGUUGGUGAGGUAACGGCUCACCAAGGCGACGACGGGUAGCCGGCCUGGGAGGGUAGCCGGCCACCCUGGGACUGAGACACGGCCCAGACUCCUACGGGAGGCAUCAGUUGGGAAUAUUGCACAAUGGGCGCAAGCCUGAUGCAGCAACGCCGCGUUGGGGAUGACGGCCUUCGGGUUGUAAACCUCUUUUAGUAGGGAAGAAGCGAAAGUGACGGUACCUGCAGAAAAAGCACCGGCUAACUACGUGCCAGCCGCCGCCGUAA